rnacentral:lncRNA from 1 species
UUUUAUAUUUACUGAUUUCAUCAAAAUUUUAUAUUUUUUAUUUGAAUAUCCGCAUGGUUGAAUUAUAAUAUUUUUUUUGAUAUUAUGUGGUCGGCGAGAAUAGAGCAUUAAUAAAUUUUCUUUAUAAAACCGAUCAUAUCCAGCACAGUUAGCUAGGAAUUUGAUCAUUGGUAUCCAAUAUCUCAAGUUCAUAGCAUGUUUAAUUCAAAUUUCUAUUAAAUUUAUUUUAAAAAAAAU